GCCCUGUUCGUUUCGUGGUCGCCAGCGUCAGCGACCAGAGUCAGCGACCAGCGACUGCGACAUGAUGUCGCUGACAGUUGUUCGUUUGAAGGUCGCGCGAUUGAUCGCAGCGGUUGUCGCUAUGUUGUUCGUUUUUAUGUCGCGCGAUUGAUCGCAGCGGUUGUCGCUGUGCUGUUCGUUUCUGUAUCGCUGGCGACCAAAUAUUUACUUUUGACAUACAUUUGCUCUUGUGUAUUUAGGUUUCGUCAAAAACGUGGCUAAAUCAUUAAAACUGUAAAGUGUAAUAAAUCACACCAUGGAUGCAAUAUAUUUAAUCGUUUCAG
rnacentral:lncRNA from 1 species